rnacentral:rRNA from 1 species
UGCAGUCGAACGAUGAUGCCCAGCUUGCUGGGUGGAUUAGUGGCGAACGGGUGAGUAACACGUGAGUAACCUGCCCCUGACUCUGGGAUAAGCGUUGGAAACGACGUCUAAUACUGGAUAUGAUCACUGGCCGCAUGGUCUGGUGGUGGAAAGAUUUUUUGGUUGGGGAUGGACUCGCGGCCUAUCAGCUUGUUGGUGAGGUAAUGGCUCACCAAGGCGACGACGGGUAGCCGGCCUGAGAGGGUGACCGGCCACACUGGGACUGAGACACGGCCCAGACUCCUACGGGAGGCAGCAGUGGGGAAUAUUGCACAAUGGGCGAAAGCCUGAUGCAGCAACGCCGCGUGAGGGAUGACGGCCUUCGGGUUGUAAACCUCUUUUAGUAGGGAAGAAGCGAAAGUGACGGUACCUGCAGAAAAAGCACCGGCUAACUACGUGCCAGCAGCCGCGGUAAUACGUAGGGUGCAAGCGUUGUCCGGAAUUAUUGGGCGUAAAGAGCUCGUAGGCGGUUUGUCGCGUCUGCUGUGAAAUCCCGAGGCUCAACCUCGGGCUUGCAGUGGGUACGGGCAGACUAGAGUGCGGUAGGGGAGAUUGGAAUUCCUGGUGUAGCGGUGGAAUGCGCAGAUAUCAGGAGGAACACCGAUGGCGAAGGCAGAUCUCUGGGCCGUAACUGACGCUGAGGAGCGAAAGCAUGGGGAGCGAACAGGAUUAGAUACCCUGGUAGUCCAUGCCGUAAACGUUGGGCGCUAGAUGUACGGACCUUUCCACGGUUUCUGUGUCGUAGCUAACGCAU